UAAGACAGAGGUGGCGAGCGUUGUUCGGAAUUACUGGGCUUAAAGGGCGCGUAGGCGGUGAUGUAAGUCUGGGGUGGAAUGCUACAGCUUAACUGUGGAACUGCCCUGGAAACUGCAUUGCUUGAGUCGGACAGGGGAAGGCGGAAUUCCUGGUGUAGCGGUGAAAUGCGUAGAUAUCAGGAGGAAGGCCUGUGGUGAAGACGGCCUUCUGGGUCUUGACUGACGCUGAGGCGCGAAAGCGUGGGGAGCAAACAGG
rnacentral:rRNA from 1 species